rnacentral:rRNA from 1 species
GAGGAAUAUUGGGCAAUGCCCGCAAGGGUGACCCAGCAACGCCGCGUGGGGGAUGAAGGUCGUAAGAUUGUAAACUCCUGUUAGAGGGGAAGAAUAACUAAGUUUGGAGCUUAGUAUGACUGUACCCUCAGAGAAAGCCCCGGCUAACUACGUGCCAGCAGCCGCGGUAAUACGUAGGGGGCAAGCGUUGUCCGGAUUUACUGGGUGGAAAGGGCGCGCAGGCGGAAUGGAAAGUCAGUGGUGAAAUCCUACAGCUUAACUGUAGAACUGCCUUUGAUACUUUCAUUCUUGAGUUCGGGAGAGAGAGACGGAAUUCCAGGUGUAGUGGUGAAAUACGUAGAUAUCUGGAAGAACACCAGUUGCGAAGGCGGUCUCUUGGUCCGAUACUGACGCUGAGGCGCGAAAGCGUGGGGAGCAAACA